CCGGAGGCCUUGCUGUGAAGCUCACUUCCAAUCCUUCAGGAAAACAAAGUGCUCAGCCCAGGACAAAGAAUCAGACUGGACUUUGAUUUGGGAGGAAAAUGAUCUUAAAAGAAUACCUAUGAAUUACAUAUGGGAAAAAGAACAGUUUACCAUUGGAAAAACCUGGCAGAUACCACCUUAGCCAGAUGAUCAAAGUUAACUUCAUCAGUAAAUCCAACACACUGAAAUCAUCUGCCAUCUGUUGGAAUGCAGCAAGAACACAGCACCACUUCUGUGAUAUUCCCACCAAAUAUGCAUAAGCUCAACAUAAUCAUGAGGAAACAUCAGAUAACUCAACGGAGGUUGUCCAACAAAAUGACUUUCACACAAUUUUGACCAUGAAUGUCAAGGUCAUGAUAGUCAAUAAAGACUGAGGACCUGUUCCAGACUAAAAGAGAAUAAGAACAUGUCCACCAAAUGCAAUAUGUUGUUUUGAAAAAAAUCACACAUCUAAACACAAUGUGUAAUUUCAUAACUUUUGUUAUAAAAAGACAUGAACGGGACAUUUGGGGAAAAUUAGAGCCUUAGAUGAGAUAGUAGUCAUGUUAUUUUCUGAUUUUGAAAAAUUAUAUGGUAGUUAUGCAAAAAUGUCAUUGUGGAAAUGCACACUGAAGUAUUCAAGAGUAAUGAAAUAUCCUAGAUGGUUUGAGGGAAAAAGAUUCUUUGUACUGUACUUGGCAACUUUCUGUAAGUUGGAAAAUGAAUACAUGUAUUCAGUUCUCAUCACAUGUACUACUAUCACACAAAUGCAAACCAUCGUCUUCUCUUUCUUGCAUUUUUGCUUAAAACCACUGCGUCACUGUAUUUUCUCUCUUGGUGACUUUGAGCCAGCAAGCUGGGUGAGGCUCAGAUGAUGUUUGGCUGGAGCGGUCUCAUGCAAGUAUACUCGGAUGGCUGGAGCUGGAGCACAGAGGGGUGAAACGCUACAUUCCCCAUGUAGUCUCACAGCUUCCUGAAGUGGCUUCUCCAUGUGGAUUAAUUUGUGCUUUCUUCUAGUAUGUUGUCCUUGGGAGUAGUCAGACUCCCUAAGAGGCAGAUGCAGGCUUCCAAAAGUGAGUAAUC
rnacentral:lncRNA from 1 species